rnacentral:misc_RNA from 1 species
GGAAGGAUCAUUGAAUCGAUCAAUCCACCAUGGUGACCAAACACACACCUUCCGUCCGUCGAGGUCGCGCAGCCCCUGCAAGGGGGAGGCGCGGUGCGCACGACUGGCUCCCAGCCCCGUGCUGGUGAGCCGCGUGAGCAGAUGGAGGAGGCAUCGUACCCAGGUUUUGCUGCUACGAGGCCGCCUUUGUUCCCCGGCGGAUGUGCGUUUUUAACCCCACUUUUACACCGAACUCAGAAACCAAACACAGAAGCGGCUGGCAACGCCGGUCGCUCCAACCAAAAGACAACUCUCAACAACGGAUAUCUUGGCUCUCGCAACGAUGAAGAACGCAGCGAAAUGCGAUACGUAGUGUGAAUUGCAGAAUUCCGUGAACCAUCGAAUCUUUGAACGCAUAUUGCGCUCGAGCCCCCGGGGCAAGAGCAUGCCUGCCUCAGCGUCGUUUCCCCCCCUCGCCCUCCCUCCACCUCCCAACAGCUAACCCCUGAGUGGGUGGGUGGAGCCGCGUGCGCCAGGGCCCUCGGCCCUCGCACCGGACUUGAGAGGAGCGGACCUGGCUGUCCCAGUGUUGCGCAAGCGACCCCUGGGUCUGCCGAAGCACAGAGGUUAGAGCGAGGCCCUCCACGGGCUCGACUGGGUAGGUGGCUCACGCCGCACAAAAGUCGACGCCCCGCGGCCUCGCUGGCGACCCUCAGCAGGAACGUGUCUAACGACCAACCUUUCGACCUGAGCUCAGGCAAGAUUACCCGCUGAACUUAAGCAUAUCAAUAAGCGGUGGAAAAGAAACAAACAUGGAUUCCCCUAGUAACGGCGAGCGAACCGGGAACAGCCCAACUGAGAAUCUCCCUCUGGAGAAUUGUAGUCUAUAGAAGUACCCUCUGCAGCGGGCGGCGCCCAAGUCCCCUGGAAAGGGGCGUCAGAGAGGGUGAGAACCCCGUCGGCGCCUGCCUAGCUGCUUCACGAGGUGCUUUCGCAGAGUCGGGUUGCUUGGGAAUGCAGCCCAAAUUGGGUGGUAAUCCCAUCUAAGGCUAAAUAUUGGCGAGAGACCGAUAGCGAACAAGUACCGUGAGGGAAAGAUGAAAAGAACUUUGAAAAGAGAGUCAAAAAGUGCUUGAAAUUGUUGAGGGGGAAGCGUUUGGAAAGGCGUAGGUGCGUCCAGGCUCAUGUGUCCCUAACGGGCCGCUGCAUGCGCUGGAUGCUGGUCAGCAUGGGUUCGUUCUGGCGGGAGAAAAGCGGGGGUUGAUACCCUGCCGAUGCCGCCGGGCGGACCAAGGAGUGAAGGGCGCCCCGGUCCUUCGGGAUCUGCGUCCUCAAGAUGCUGGCAGAAGCCUUCCAAUCGGCCCGUCUUGAAACACGGACCAAGGAGUCUAACAUGUAUGCGAGUUGGUGGGUGGAAAACCCAUGAAGCGUAAGUAACCUGACUGUGGGAUGGCCUGUGCCUGCACCAUCGACCGACCAUGAGCUUCUGCGAAAGGUUUGAGUGCGAGCAUACCUGUUGGGACCCGAAAGAUGGUGAACUAUGCCUGAGCAGGGCGAAGCCAGAGGAAACUCUGGUGGAGGCUCGUAGAUGUGCUGACGUGCAAAUCGCUUUUCGGACUUGGGUAUAGGGGCGAAAGACUAAUCGAACCAUCUAGUAGCUGGUUCCCUC